GAUGAACGCUGGCGGCGUGCCUAACACAUGCAAGUCGAGCGGGGAUUUACCGAAGCAGCAAUGACGAGGUGAUUUCAGCGGCGGACGGGUGAGUAACACGUGAGCAAUCUGCCUUCUGCAGGGGAAUAACAUUGUGAAAACAGUGCUAAUACCGCAUGACGUCGCACCGGGGCAUCCCGGAGCGACCAAAGGAGCAAUCCGGCAGGAGAUGAGCUCGCGUCCGAUUAGGUAGUUGGUGAGGUAACGGCCCACCAAGCCUACGAUCGGUAGCCGAACUGAGAGGUUGAUCGGCCACAUUGGGACUGAGACACGGCCCAGACUCCUACGGGAGGCAG
rnacentral:rRNA from 1 species